UCGCCGGCGCGCCUCCACCUCUCGGUCGCCGGUGCGUCUCCACCUCUCGGCCGCCGACGCGCCUCUACCUUGUCCCGGCCGUCCAGGUAAUGCGCGCGCAUCAGUUCGCACAAGACUAGGUCGCCGGGCACCAUUCGCCAUCCGGCGCGACGCCAUGGGUAAAGCCAAGAUGGAGCUACCGGUUCUAGCACCGACACCUGCGACGUCAGUCCAUCGAUGUGCUCGGCGCCGUCCACAACUCCAUCGCGCUCGAGCAUACGCUCUAGAUCAUCUUCCACCAUGCUCCGGCCACGGCUCCCCACUGCCAACACAAGAUCCCAACCACUUCUGAAAAAACUGUUGUUAUCUGGUUAGGAGUUCACAUUUGCUAAAUUCCGUAGUUCUUUGGUUCACCAUUGCUAAAUUUUGUAGCUAUCUGGUUAGUAGUUCACCUUUUAUAAAAUAUGUAGUUCUCUAGUUAGAUAAACAGUGGUUAUCUUUGCAGAAACAAUGGUAGUCUACAAUUUCUGUUAUUGGUAGUAGCAGUUCAAUAUAUAUUAGAAGAAGAAAAAAGGAAACAGUGUUGUCUUGCAUGACCACAUGAGGUGUCACCACAAAAGCAGCAGACGAUGUUUGAGGCUGUUUUGUAGGCUGCCACUGUUCUACCUGUCCGAUAACAGUGGCGGCGAGACGAACACCGUGCGCGCACCUGUGUGACAUGAAGCGGAGGCAUCACUAUGGCCACGUACAGAGUGUUGGGACUGCAACAAUUCCCACGGUCCAAAGCGUAGAGGAUGUGCUUGUGAGCUGUGAUGUUCUGAACUUGUGAUAUAUGUAUGCAUGCAUGCUUUGUUUUGUGAUGGAUCACAUAUAGAUCAAUUCUUUUUCUUCUACUGAAAAUCAAUAUGUUCUGCAGCUGCGGCGGUGAGAAGCAGACCCGUUCAUGUUCCUCCAUCUCCCAAGCUAAGUUUUCUGUUGUUUUUGAUGUUAUUCCUAAAAGAAAAUCGUUUAUACAUGGCCAAUGUGAAUGUGCAGUAUGGUGUAGUGCAAAAGAACAGUCACGUGUGUGGUUAAUUAGCUGAGCAUGCAGGGCCUGUUUGAGCUUUAUGUGGAGAACUAGUUGGAUACUACGGUUUUUGGAAAAUCAAGUUGUUCUUUCUUUACAUGAUUUACAAACUCGCAUUGCAUUCUCCUGUUGCUUUACUCUUCCAUCUCAUAUAUAUAUGAUUGAGUUAUCUAAAAGAGCUUCUGUUCCUGCUAUCUACAGAGAUACAUUGUUUUAACUGAAAAAUGAUGUCUCUGGCGGCCACCACUCCUUGGAAAUUUUCUUCCAUCUGCUUGUACGCAGACCAUGGUGCUUGACUUUGUUCUUAUCUUUUUAUUUUUUGCAGCCAGUCAGUGCUUCUUCUUGAUCUCCCGACCACCAGCGCCGCUUCUUCAAAAUGAUGUCUUACACUUGAUCUCUGAACUUCAGCCACCGACCUCCUCUGGUUGGGCCACACCACCACCGGCCCGUCCACAACAGUUGCUGGCAGCCAUCCAAGUUGAGCGCUGAUGGUAGUCCUCUGCGUGCGUCAACGACACUCUCACAAGAAGCUCAAUCAUAUUCAGGGAUGAAAAAGGAGAGAAGCACAGGAAGAGGUGGCAGCUUCGUCCUCUUUUAAACUGAAGUUUUCAUUCAGGUAGUACAUCCACAGCAGCUAGUACAGAAUGCAGAGCAGUGGAUGCAACUACCUAGUAGAAUACUACAGGGAAGCAGGGACGUUCGAUGCUACUGGAUUGUGGAUAGAGGAGUUAAAUUAAGCCCCUGACAUCGUUUCUACAAAUCAGGGGAGCCAGAUCCCUGCUUCAGUAUAUGACUUGUACAAGAAAACAUACACUAAAUGUAGCAG
rnacentral:rRNA from 1 species